rnacentral:rRNA from 1 species
GUCCCGCAACGAGCGCAACCCUUAUCCUUGUUGCCAGCGGUCCGGCCGGGAACGUCAAGGAGACUGCCAGUGAUAAACUGGAGGAAGGCGGGGAUGACGUCAAGUCAUCAUGGCCCUUACGACCAGGGCUACACACGUGCUACAAUGGCGCAUACAAAGAGAAGCGACCUCGCGAGAGCAAGCGGACCUCAUAAAGUGCGUCGUAGUCCGGAUUGGAGUCUGCAACUCGACUCCAUGAAGUCGGAAUCGCUAGUAAUCGUGGAUCAGAAUGCCACGGUGAAUACGUUCCCGGGCCUU